UACGUAGGGCGCAAGCGUUGUCCGGAAUUAUUGGGCGUAAAGAGCUCGUAGGCGGCUUGUCACGUCGGGUGUGAAAGCCCGGGGCUUAACCCCCGGGUCUGCAUUCGAUACGGGGCUAGCUAGAGUGUGGUAGGGGAGGAUCGGAAUUCCUGGUGUAGCGGUGAAAAUGCGCAGAUAUCAGGAGGAACACCGGUGGCGAAGGCGGAUCUCUGGGCCAUUACUGACGCUGAGGAGCGAAAGCGUGGGGAGCGAACAGG
rnacentral:rRNA from 1 species